ensembl:lncRNA
AGCUGAGAAGGACUCGUGGGUGGAGCUCCUGGGUGGCCGGAGAGAUGGACAGAACACUGUGUAUGAAGAGUGGGACACUGUGGCUAAGACUGUCCACAGGUGCGACGUAUAGAGGUGUAUAGUGGACAAAAACAAGGAGAGCUUAAUCUACAGUUGGGAGAUAUGAUCAACGUCAUGCAGAAGACUCCAGAUGGGUUUGUGGAAGGCCGCAGGGUACAGGAUGGAGAGCAGGGCUGGUUCUCUGCUACAUUGGUAGAGAUCACCAAUGAACAUGUGCAGAGACGUCACCUUCGUCAGUGGUAUCAUGUCCUACAGACAGCCACACGUCUGCUGAAACAACACAGUGGGGGGCUUGAACUACAAACCAAAAAAUGCUUUAAAUGACAGACUGCCUACAUUUGGAGACUUUGCAUUUUUUUCACGUACUGACUUGAAAUAAAUUAGUAAAUAAUUAUAUGUACA